rnacentral:rRNA from 1 species
UACGUAGGGGGGCGAGCGUUGUCCGGAAUUACUGGGCGUAAAGGGCGAGUAGGCGGCUAUACAAGUCAGAUGUGAAAUACCAGGGCUCAACCCUGGUACUGCAUUUGAAACUGUGUAGCUUGAGUACAGGAGAGGAAAGUGGAAUUCCCAAGUGUAGCGGUGAAAUGGCGUAGAUAUUAGGGGAGAACACCAGUGGCGAAAGGCGA